rnacentral:misc_RNA from 1 species
CGCCUCUCUGCGUUCUUCAUGCAACCAACUAAGUAAUCCUGAAAACCCAGAUUUUUCUUUCUUGUUCUUCCAUUAAAUUUGAUGAUGAAUUACAACAAAUUCCAGGAAUAUGAGCGUGUGUUUAACCACUUCGAUGAGAAUGGAGAUGGGAAGAUUUCCCCUUUCGAAUUGCAGCGAUGUGUCGGUGCUGUAGGGGGAGAGCUGUCGCUGGCGGAGGCAGAGGCGGCUAUUGAGUAUUCGGACUCGGACGGUGAUGGGUUGUUGUGUUUUGAGGACUUUGUUAAGUUUGUUGAUGGAGGUGAAGAAGAAGAGAAGGUGAAGGAUUUGAAAGAGGCUUUUAAGAUGUAUGAAAUGGAAGAAAGUGGAUGUAUUACACCUAAGAGUUUGAAGAGGAUGCUUAGUAGAUUAGGUCAAUCUACCUCCAUCGAAGCUUGCAAGACUAUGAUUGCUCAGUUUGAUCUUAAUGGUGAUGGAGUUCUUAAUUUUGAUGAGUUUAAGGUUAUGAUGUUAUGAUGAUGAUCAUGAUGAGGAGGUGGA